ensembl:lncRNA
GCUAACAUCAUUAUCAUAUGUGUAAUAAUACUAAAGCUUCAUCUUGUGCACCCACAAAAAACAAAUAUGGCUUCUUCGUGCAGGUUUCUGUGGUAUGUUCAUUUAUGCUUCACAAUGAAAAAAAAACAAAAACAAAACAAAAAAAAACCCAGCAAAUUUCUUGCUUCUCAGCCACUGUGGCCACAUCCUCACCGUUUAUUUGGGCAGUUCUAUAAACAUACUGUGAGUGAGUCAUAAGUUUAAAUACAAUAGUUGAAGGAACAAAAAAAAAAAAAAAAAAAAAAAAUAUGAAUGUUUAAAAAUACCAGUCAAAUCUGAUUAAAGUAAAUAAAUAAUAAGUACACAAUGUAGUUUUAAGACUUAUCUCAAAGUUCCAUAACAUUAAUGUUCUAUGAACUCAUGAGUCCAGAAAUCUGAACGUCAUGAAAAGUAUUCAUUAUUAGUGUAUUAUUAUUUUUGUUAAUAAAAAGUAUGAGCCGUACAAGUAUGUUUAUAGAACUGCCCAAAUAAAUGGUGAGGAUGUGGCCA